CUACGAGAACGACGCUGGCGGCGCGUUUAAGCAUGCAAGUCGAGCGGCAAGGGCCUUCGGGCCCCUAGAGCGGCGGACGGGUGAGUAACACGUGGACAAUCUGCCCCCCGGCCCGGGAUAGCCCAGGGAAACCUGGAUUAAUACCGGAUGAGACGGGACCCGCGAUGGCGGGAUCCGGGAAAGGCGCUGCGGCGCCGCCGGGGGAUGAGUCUGCGUCCCAUUAGCUAGACGGCGGGGUAACGGCCCACCGUGGCGACGAUGGGUAGCCGGCCUGAGAGGGUGGACGGCCACAUUGGAACUGAGACACGGUCCAGACUCCUACGGGAGGCAGCAGCUAAGAAUCUUCCGCAAUGGGCGAAAGCCUGACGGAGCCGACGCCGCGUGAACGAAGAAGGCCGUGAGGUUGUAAAGUUCUUUUCGGGAGGGGAACAACCGUGGCAGGGAAUGGCCGCGGGAUGACGUGAAUCCCGGAAUAAGCCCCGGCUAACUACGUGCCAGCCGCCGC
rnacentral:rRNA from 1 species